CGGACAGAGCUGGCGUAUCUGGCCUGUAUUCAGCCGUGCGUCCGUUGGCGUCAGGGAUGCCGCCCUCCAGAUUGGGACGGUGGCCUGUCUGCUGGCGGAUGUGUGGUGCAUUUGCAGGUGGAGUGCGCUGAGGCGCUCGGGUCAGCGGCAUGAGCUCAGUGUUGAGGCCAGCCCCUCACGGGGUCUGGUACCCGCAUUGUGGGGAGUGCUGUUUGUCCUGGGUGUGUGGAGGGCAAUGGUUUCGGGUUCGUGUGGGUGCCGAGCUGGCAGUCGGUGGCGGUCGCGUGCGACACGUGCCAGCGGUCAGUUCGGUCCUGCUCGAGCUCUCAUCUGCUCGUCCUCGGUGUAAAAGCCGGUCAUCUGUCCGACCCGUCUUGAAACACGGACCAAGGAGUUUAGCGUGUGCGCGAGUCAUUGGGCGUUGAAAACCCAAAGGCGCAAUGAAAGUGAAGGUCUCCCUUGCGGAGCUGAUGUGUGAUCCUGGGCACUGCGGUGCACACCGGGCGCAACAUAGUCCCGUCCCGAUCGCUUGCGAUGGGGCGGAGACAGAGCGUACACGCUGAG
rnacentral:rRNA from 1 species